rnacentral:rRNA from 1 species
UACGUAGGGAGCAAGCGUUGUCCGGAAUCAUUGGGCGUAAAGCGCGCGUAGGCGGCCCGAUAAGUCCGCUGUGAAAGUCAACGGCUCAACUGUUGGAUGCCGGUGGAUACUGUCGGGCUAGAGUACGGAAGAGGCAAGUGGAAUUCCUGGUGUAGCGGUGAAAUGCGCAGAUAUCAGGAAGAACACCCGUGGCGAAGGCGGCUCUCUGGGACGGUACUGACGCUGAGACGCGAAAGCGUGGGGAGCGAACAGG